AUUGAACGCUGGCGGCAGGCCUAACACAUGCAAGUCGAGCGAGCGGCGGACGGGUGAGUAAUGUAUGGGGACUGCCCGAUAGAGGGGGAUAACUACUGGAAACGGUGGCUAAUACCGCAUACUGUCGGAUAACCCAUAUGGGAUUAGCUAGUAGGUAAGGUAAUGGCUUACCUAGGCGACGAUCCCUAGCUGGUCUGAGAGGAUGAUCAGGCAAACUGGGACUGGGAAACGGGCCAGACUCUAAGGGAGGCAGCCGGGGGGAAUAGUGGAAAAUGGGGGGAAGCCUUAUGCAGCCAUGCCGCGUGUAUGAAGAAGGCCCUAGGGUUGUAAAGUACUUUCAGUCGGGAGGCGUUACCGACAGAAGAAGCACCGGCUAACUCCGUGCCAGCAGCCGCGGUAAUUC
rnacentral:rRNA from 1 species